rnacentral:rRNA from 1 species
GACAGAGGGUGCAAACGUUGUUCGGAAUUACUGGGCGUAAAGCGCACGUAGGCGGCUUUGUAAGUUAGAGGUGAAAGCCCGGGGCUCAACUCCGGAAUUGCCUUUAAGACUGCAUCGCUAGAAUUGUGGAGAGGUAAGUGGAAUUCCGAGUGUAGAGGUGAAAUUCGUAGAUAUUCGGAAGAACACCAGUGGCGAAGGCGACUUACUGGACACAUAUUGACGCUGAGAUGCGAAAGCGUGGGGAGCAAACAGG